rnacentral:rRNA from 1 species
AGCAGCAGCCGCGGUAAAACAGAGGGUGCGAGCGUUAAUCGGAUUUACUGGGCGUAAAGCGUGCGUAGGCGGCUUCUUAAGUCGGAUGUGAAAUCCCUGAGCUUAACUUAGGAAUUGCAUUCGAUACUGGGAAGCUAGAGUAUGGGAGAGGAUGGUAGAAUUCCAGGUGUAGCGGUGAAAUGCGUAGAGAUCUGGAGGAAUACCGAUGGCGAAGGCAGCCAUCUGGCCUAAUACUGACGCUGAGGUACGAAAGCAUGGGGAGCAAACAGGAUUAGAUACCCCCGUAGUCCCUGUCUCUUAUAC